rnacentral:lncRNA from 1 species
UGGAGAUUGGAGUCUCUCUCUCUCUCUGCUUUCAGACCACCAUGUGAGCUGCUUCCCUUUGCCACACUCUUCUGCCAUGAUGUCCUGCCUCACCCUUGAGUCCUGAGGAAUGGAGCUGGCUGUCCAUGGACUGAGACCUCUGAAACUGUAAGCCUCUAAAUAAACUUUUUCUUCUCUAUAAUUGUUCUGGUCAGAAAACUGACUAAAACACUGUUCUUUCAACCAUACCACAUUGUCUUGAUUACUGCACUUUAUAGCAGGUCUUGAAGUCAGAUAAUGUCAGUCAUCUGACUUUAUUCUUCUCCUUCAAUAUUGUAUGGGCUCUGCUGGGUCUGUGUAUUAACUUUAGAAUCAGUUUGUUUAUAUCCAUGAAAUAACUGGCAGAGAGUUUGACUGAGAUUGUAUUAAAUCUUUGGAUCAGAUUGGGAAGAAUUGAUAGUUUUACAAUAUUGAGUCUCCUACCCAUGAGCAUGGACUAUCUUUCCAUUUACUUAUUUCUUUGAUGUAUUUCACCGUUGCUUUGUUGUUACCCUCAUAUGAAUGUUGUAUAUAUUUAGUUAGAUACAUACCUAAAUAUAUCUUUUUUGGGGGGGUUGCCAUUGUAAGGGGUUUUGUGUUUUUAAUUUCAAAUCAUACUUGUUCAUUUCUUGUAUAUCAAACUUGUAUCCUGCAACCUUACUAUGAUUACUUAUUAUUUCCAGGAGUUUGUUGUUGACACUUUUAGAUCCUCUGCACAGAUGAUGAUGUCUCCUGUGUCCAAAGAUAGCUUUAUUUCUGUUUUCCUCACUAGUAUGCCUUUAAUUUUCUUUUCUUAUUGCAUGAUAUAUCUUCAAUAAUUUAACUCUAAACUAUUUGUGUCCUUCUAUUUGGUGGGUUUCUUGUGGACAACUUACAUUGAGUUUUGUUUUUUGAUCACUGACAGUCUCUUUUAAUUGGUGCAUUUAGACUACUGGUGUUUAAAGUUAUUACUAAUAUCUACUAUGUUUGCUAUUGCUUUAUAUUUUAUUGCCUUUGUUAUUUGUUCCAGUUUUUGUAUUCCAAUUUUUCUAUCAUUUAUAGUUUUAAUGGAGCAUUUAAUGUAAUAUCAUUUUCUCUGCCUUCUUAGCAUAAGAAUUAUUUUUCUUUUAAAAACUUUUUUGAUGGUUUUCCUAGAGUUUCCAGUAUGCACUUAGAACUAAUCCGAGUCUGCUUUCAAAUAACACAAUAUUGCUUCAUGAUUAGUGCAGUACCUUAUAACAUAAUAAUUCUAAUUUCUGCUUGCUAUCCCUUUUGUAAUUCUGUUAUUCAUUCAGCUUUUACAUCAAGCAUAUAUACAU